rnacentral:rRNA from 1 species
UAGGGAAUCUUCCGCAAUGGGCGAAAGCCUGACGGAGCAACGCCGCGUGAGUGAUGAAGGUCUUCGGAUCGUAAAACUCUGUUAUUAGGGAAGAACAAAUGUGUAAGUAACUAUGCACGUCUUGACGGUACCUAAUCAGAAAGCCACGGCUAACUACGUGCCAGCAGCCGCGGUAAUACGUAGGUGGCAAGCGUUAUCCGGAAUUAUUGGGCGUAAAGCGCGCGUAGGCGGUUUUUUAAGUCUGAUGUGAAAGCCCACGGCUCAACCGUGGAGGGUCAUUGGAAACUGGAAAACUUGAGUGCAGAAGAGGAGAGUGGAAUUCCAUGUGUAGCGGUGAAGUGCGCAGAGAUAUGGAGGAACACCAGUGGCGAAGGCGACUUUCUGGUCUGUAACUGACGCUGAUGUGCGAAAGCGUGGGGAUCAAACAGG